UGAUGACGGCAAAAGUUCAGUCACAGUCAGUGCAGUCGAACGGGUGUGAAGUGAAAACGGGAGUAACAGAACGGGAAAAACGGAGGAUUGAUUGGAGAGGUGGUUGUGUGAACGAACUUGGACAGAAUCUGAUUUUGAUAACGCUGCAAUAAUAGGAGAGAAAAGUGCUGCAUCGGUAUUCGGAGUCGCCUGGCUGCGGAGGAUGCUGCUUCCGACGGGGAACCAGGAAUCGAAAGUCGUCAAAGCACUAAUCGUCAAAUUUCGACUACUAUGAAUUGGCUGCCGUUGAACCGGAUUCGCCGAGGACAUCAACCAAAUAAGAAAACCAACAACAGCAUUAACCGCGAACGCUUUGUUAAUCUUCAGCAAUUGAGCAAGACUGAUUUACGUUAAAUACACACACUCACUCACCCUUUAGAACACUCCUCAAGAAGCACCAGCAAAGAGUAGAGAAACCAGCCAUGUCCUUCUCCAACGGCACCCAGCUCAAGUCGUCCUCUUCCGGGGGCACCAACGGAGGUAAUCCGCCCCGUCAGCCGUUGAAUCCACCGGGUCGACCCCAGAGCUACAGCUACAGCCGGGACUCGGACCGACUCCUAUGGGAAAUGCGUCCGGCCAAUCGUACGCCGAACACGACCCCGGUCAGUACGGUGCUCAACUCGCCGGACCUGACCGAUCUGGACACGAAGCUUCGCUACCAGCACAGCACGCUGAUGCAGCAUCACCAGAUUAAGGUGGGCCGGAGUCCGGUCGGAAGCGGCGGCAACAACGAUAGCAAUAACUCCACCAAUCCGUCUAGUCCGACGAUGGUCCAUCCGGGAUCGCGGCACCAGCCGGAUGCGGCCUUUUCGUCCUUCUCGCUCCUGUCGGACGGGGAGAUGGUCGUGUUUGACGAUAUCGACACGACGACCAUGCGCAACUGGCGCAUGAGUGGAGACCGGGACAUACUGGGCAGUUCACCGGUGCCUUCCGAAGACGAGGAAGAAGAGGACAAUAGCUGUGCUUCCGGUGGGGGCGGUGGUGGUGAUGGGGGAAGGGAUGACGAGAGGAAUUACUACGAUGUGGAUAGUUCGAAGAUUCAGAGGAUCAUUGGUGGACUGACGAUCGCGGAGUACGAGGGGUCGCCUCGGAGGUUCGGCGUGGUCGAUAGGGAUGAGGCGGGAGAUGGCGGAGGAGGCGGUGGGGGGUUUGGACGACCCGGCGGGAUGGCGAGACCCGGAUUUCCAAAGAGAGUGAUUUCACCGAGUCCAUCGUCGGAAUCGCAGCACCACCGUCCCCAGUCUUCGCCGGCCGCCGACAGCCAGUCGGAGUUGAUAGAUCUCAAUGACGAUGGGGAUGGAUCCCGGUUACGGCGAACCGCCGCCAACGAGAGUAAGUUCAAUCUGACCUACGUGGACUAUUUCACCUCCAGCAACGACGAGCUGUUGUCGAUGAUGGAGGAGGGUGACCAGAAUAACCAAACUCCGACUAACCUACUAACCAAUAUGGGGAACGAGGGAGAAGGUGGUGGAGGUGGUGGGAACGAUCAGGACUACUUCUUUAGCUAUAGCACUGAUCCAAGCGCUACUAGUAAUCGCAAUGCUCAAAGUAACGCUUAUGUCGCUCAACGGUUGGCCACCACCAAGUCCAAUCGCUCCGGGUCCGGAGAGCAGGACCAAGACGAUGAAGACGGAGAGGAGGAAGACGAACAGCAAUCGAGCACCCCAAUCGGGGGCCAGUUGAGCAAUAGUUAUCCCUAUUACCAUAAGUACAGCAACAGGCCGUGCCAUUACGCUAACUCUGGCGGCAAUGCACAACAGCAGCAGCAUGACCAGCUGGAGUCGCACAAUCAGCAACGCUACUAUCAUUCGCAUUACGCUCAACAGCAGCCGAAUCAUCAUCAGGGUUAUGGUGGGGGUGGGGAAUCACAGGAUAUUGAACUGUACAUAGAUUCCGGGAGUCGCAGCGGAGGGGAAUCGGAGGUUGAACAGCAGCUUCAGCAGCACCACAAACACCAGCAUCAUACGCACGUGGACAGCAAGAUCCGGAGUUUUACGCUUUCGCCGGAGACGACCGACUACGACUCCAACUGCGGCGAUCUGGACUCGGAGGUGUCGCUGCGCUACAUGGGCAAUGAAUACGGGCUCUCAGGGGACCUCAACGGUCACAUGGGCAGCGGUGGCGGAGGCAACGACAACUCCAUCACCGACUACGGACGUCUCUACAGCAGUAUGCCCAUCCUGGAGGAUGGGCUCUCCAGCGGGCACGCCUCCGAUACGGAGAACAACCUGGCUCCUCCUCCACCCCCGCCACCCAUAUCGGGCAUCUCGAUCGUCAUGGACCAACAACAACAACUGCCAUCGGAUGACCCGUCGGCGCUGGCGAUAGAACAGGAAUCCGGCCAUCCCUUCAUAUCUUCCAUCCAGAUGGCGGCCGCAGAUCAACCAGCACAGCUGGACUCCAGCGACGAAGUCCAGGAAGCGAUCAAGGACAUCAAGGCGGCCCUGCAAAAGACCAAAAUUCUGCCUUCCACGGAGGGACCGUCGAUGCUGGAUGCGGAACAGGUCGGACGGACGGAGGUUUCUCCGGUGUGGGUUCCGAGGUCCUUCGACAAAUCGCGGGAAAGCUUGGACUCGGAUCAACCGGCGAAGCUGCUGAGUGCAGACGAGGAGGAAGCCGACACGGAUCUGGAAACGGAUCGACUUCUCGGUCAGCAGCGGCUAGACGAUCUCGGAUUCAGUGACGAAAAGAGUUGGACGGCAGCGGAUCGGGCCGCCAAGAUCCGAUCGAUCCGGUCGCCAACGGUGCCGCUGAUCAGCAAGAACCACACGGCCAUUCGGGCCGGAGUGGGAACGCAGAUAUCGGCCGAAUCGCCCGUGAGCAACGUGGGCAUCACCAACGUGUACGGCAACGGUGGAACAAUACCGCUCGGGGCAGACGCGGAGGACAUCAAGCAACUGAAGCAGACCGGUUCGCCGGCCGACAAGAGUCCCAUCUCGAAGAGUGAUCCGGACAAGAAGGGAAAGUGUAAAACGAAAGAAGUCCUCAUCGAGGGUGUUCUCUUCCGCGCGCGCUACCUCGGUUCCACCCAGCUGGUUUGCGAAGGUCAACCAACCAAAUCGACGCGGAUGAUGCAAGCCGAAGAGGCCGUUUCCCGAAUCAAGGCAUUGGCUCCGGAAGGCGAGUCCCAGCCCAGUACCGAGGUCGAUCUGUUCAUCUCGACGGAGAAGAUCAUGGUGCUGAACACCGAUCUCAAGGAGAUCAUGAUGGAUCACGCCCUGCGGACGAUCUCCUACAUUGCGGACAUCGGUGAUCUGGUGGUGUUGAUGGCCCGAAGGCGAUUCGUACCGCAGGACGUGGAUCCCGGAGAUCCGGCCGCACCGCUUGUAGCGGCCACCACUCAGCAGACCUCCGCCACGAAUGCUUCCACCGGCGACAGUGGUAACAACAAUAGUCCACCAAAGAAGUCCCUCCCGCGGGGCAACCGGACCCCGAAGAUGAUCUGCCACGUGUUCGAAAGCGAAGAGGCCCAGUUCAUAGCGCAGUCGAUUGGGCAAGCCUUCCAGGUGGCCUACAUGGAGUUUCUGAAGGCGAACGGAAUUGAGGAUCACAGCUUUAUGAAGGAGAUGGACUACCAGGAGGUGCUGAACAGUCAGGAGAUCUUCGGCGACGAGUUGGAGGUCUUCGCCAAGAAGGAACUGCAGAAGGAGGUGGUGGUCCCGAAGGCCAAGGGCGAGAUCCUCGGAGUGGUGAUCGUCGAGUCUGGGUGGGGAUCGAUGCUACCGACGGUGGUCAUUGCGAACUUGGCUUCGUCCGGAGCGGCGGCCCGGUGCGGCCAGUUGAACAUCGGUGACCAGAUCAUAGCGAUCAACGGGCUGAGUUUGGUGGGACUGCCGUUGUCCACCUGCCAGGGGUACAUCAAGAACACCAAGAACCAGACGGCGGUCAAGUUUACGGUGGUUCCGUGUGCGCCUGUCGUGGAAGUGCGGAUAAAGAGGCCGAACACGAAAUAUCAGCUGGGGUUCAGCGUGCAGAACGGGGUGAUUUGCAGUCUGCUACGCGGUGGCAUUGCGGAGCGGGGCGGCGUCCGCGUCGGGCACCGAAUCAUCGAAAUCAACAACCAAAGCGUGGUGGCUGUACCACACGAAAAGAUCGUCAACCUGCUAGCGACAUCUGUGGGCGAGAUUCACAUGAAAACUAUGCCUACUUCGAUGUUCCGCCUGCUGACGGGACAGGAGAAUCCUGUGUACAUCUAAGCAGGCGACCUGCUAAGAGGAUCAAGAUUGUGAUACGAAACGGAUAACGCACGAAAGCGGAUACUUGUUGGCUAGUUGGUACAGGACACCCAAAAAACAGUAGAAACUGCAUGAUAAUUGCAUUUAGGGACAAAAAAAAGUUGCAAAGCAAAAGACGCUUCUUAAACUGUUGCAAAACGAACAAGUUUUCGACGACGUGAAACCAAGAGAUUGUGAACCGAUGAUGAGUAGGGAGUUUGUAGUCGAAUGAUUAGACGAAUUUCAUAAUGGGUAAGCUUAAGCUAAUACUAAACGUUAAGACUUGGGAGCUAAGAACAGAUCUACCUUUAAGACGAGUGGAUUUCCAAUACAAAACAUAAAUGCAGAACAAUUCCUCACGGGAGAUACGACGAUGCUCUUGCUCAGCGAAUCUACCUUCUAGUUGACUGACGGGGGCCUAACAAAACGUUACAGACAUGCAUUGCAUACACUCUCACACUCAUUCCUCAUACUCAGCCACGGUUUUCAAAAUGCGAAUCUUCCUUCAUCACGAAUUGAAAGAGACACUGUCAAAUCGGUGCGACCAAACUCUAUACUAUAACUCCGUAAACCAGUAAUGCAUGCCUCUAUCUACCGCAAACUAUAAGGAAAUCGCGUCACUUGUGAAACCCAAAGCAAAACCGAUGAAAGCAUUUGUGCGAGCAAAGAAAGUAUUUAUUUGUAGCAAUAUAUACGUAUACUUAGGGACGACAAACAUGUAAGCCAGACAGGAAUACACAAUAGAAUCGCGCAGAGAUUAGGAAAAGAAUGAUUGCUGCAAGUAGUCCUAGGGAGGAUGCAGCUUGCUACCGCAGCGAUGCGCUUUUCGUCGACUUAUUAGGAAGAAGACAUAACCAAAUCGGAAGCCCAGUAACAGUUACAUAUAUCCCUACGGGAUAUGCAUCUAAUCGCAUACACAUCAAAUUGAGAGCGAAAGCGGAAGUCAUACCGUUGAAGCAGUAUUAUCAACGUCGAACGUUAAGCGCGCAGAACAAUAGACACAAGGUAGCAAAAUCCGGAAAGAAGGUAAGUACGUAUUCAAUGUGAUAACCAAAAAAAAACAAACAAGUAAUCAUUCUGGAAACAAUCAGCAUCAAGAAAAAAGGUUGUUGAACAAACAGAAAAAAAACUGUAAACUGAUAUAAUCAUGAGCGUAACCAUAAAGCGAAUCAAUGCAAUGUGAAACAAACAAUUGAGCAAGCAAAGUAGACGCAAACCAGGUGCAAAACUAGAGACGAAAUCAGAACAAUACACGAAAUGACGAAAUGAGAAAACAGGUGAA